AAGGCAGCCAAUGAAUCUACUUAUCUGAAUGUGUUUCUGCAGAAAUUUAGAGAAAGUUGGCAGUAGGCAUGCCAUACUGUGAGGCUUCAGCACACCGAUGUCAGUGAGGUCCCUGAGCAAGGUCCCAUGA
rnacentral:snoRNA from 1 species